GGGGUUGUGGCUCAGAGGUAGAGUGCUUACUUAGCAUGCAUGAGGCGCUGGGUUCAACCCUCAGCACCACA
rnacentral:tRNA from 1 species